UCGACGUAUUCAUUGCGGUGAACAACGCGAUUGGGACAGCACACUCACGACGUGGGAAGGUCACAGAAAUGUUGAAAGACAUCAGAUUGGGCAUACGCUUCACCCGUGCAACUUCGUCAUGUGCUCCACGGCAGCACAAGCCUUUACGGCUGUGCCACUAUGUGUGGAAACGUCGUAGCGGAUGAAUGUGAAUUAUGGAUCUCCAAGUGGCGCCGCCCGCGUCAUUUUCA